GACAGAGUGGUGUAGUGGUUUGAACGUUGGACUAGGACUUUGGAGACCAAGGUUUGAAUCCCAGCUUGGCCA